rnacentral:rRNA from 1 species
UUGAACGCUGGCGGCAGGCCUAACACAUGCAAGUCGAGCGGUAGCACAGAGAGCUUGCUCUCGGGUGACGAGCGGCGGACGGGUGAGUAAUGUCUGGGAAACUGCCUGAUGGAGGGGGAUAACUACUGGAAACGGUAGCUAAUACCGCAUAAUGUCGCAAGACCAAAGUGGGGGACCUUCGGGCCUCAUGCCAUCAGAUGUGCCCAGAUGGGAUUAGCUAGUAGGUGGGGUAACGGCUCACCUAGGCGACGAUCCCUAGCUGGUCUGAGAGGAUGACCAGCCACACUGGAACUGAGACACGGUCCAGACUCCUACGGGAGGCAGCAGUGGGGAAUAUUGCACAAUGGGCGCAAGCCUGAUGCAGCCAUGCCGCGUGUGUGAAGAAGGCCUUCGGGUUGUAAAGCACUUUCAGCGGGGAGGAAGGCGUUAAGGUUAAUAACCUUGGCGAUUGACGUUACCCGCAGAAGAAGCACCGGCUAACUCCGUGCCAGCAGCCGCGGUAAUACGGAGGGUGCAAGCGUUAAUCGGAAUUACUGGGCGUAAAGCGCACGCAGGCGGUCUGUCAAGUCGGAUGUGAAAUCCCCGGGCUCAACCUGGGAACUGCAUUCGAAACUGGCAGGCUAGAGUCUUGUAGAGGGGGGUAGAAUUCCAGGUGUAGCGGUGAAAUGCGUAGAGAUCUGGAGGAAUACCGGUGGCGAAGGCGGCCCCCUGGACAAAGACUGACGCUCAGGUGCGAAAGCGUGGGGAGCAAACAGGAUUAGAUACCCUGGUAGUCCACGCCGUAAACGAUGUCGAUUUGGAGGUUGUGCCAGUGAGGCGUGGCUUCGGGAGAUAACGCGUUAAAUCGACCGCCUGGGGAGUACGGCCGCAAGGUUAAAAAUCGAAUGAAUUGACGGGGGACCGCACAAGCGGUGGAGCAUGUGGUUUAAUUCGAUGCAACGCGAAGAACCUUACCUGGUCUUGACAUCCACAGAACUUUCCAGAGAUGGAUUGGUGCCUUCGGGAACUGUGAGACAGGUGCUGCAUGGCUGUCGUCAGCUCGUGUUGUGAAAUGUUGGGUUAAGUCCCGCAACGAGCGCAACCCUUAUCCUUUGUUGCCAGCGGUUAGGCCGGGAACUCAAAGGAGACUGCCAGUGAUAAACUGGAGGAAGGUGGGGAUGACGUCAAGUCAUCAUGGCCCUUACGACCAGGGCUACACACGUGCUACAAUGGCAUAUACAAAGAGAAGCGACCUCGCGAGAGCAAGCGGACCUCAUAAAGUAUGUCGUAGUCCGGAUUGGAGUCUGCAACUCGACUCCAUGAAGUCGGAAUCGCUAGUAAUCGUAGAUCAGAAUGCUACGGUGAAUACGUUCCCGGGCCUUGUACACACCGCCCGUCACACCAUGGGAGUGGGUUGCAAAAGAAGUAGGUAGCUUAACCUUCGGGAGGGCGCUUACCACUUUGUGAUUCAUGACUGGGGUG